UUAGAUCCCUUUUCUCAAAGCGUAGGCAUGCAGACACGGGGCACCCUCUCCCUCUGCUGCCAUUAGUGUCUCCUUAGAAUUUGAAUUGUUUUUCCACUGACAACAGAACAAGUCCCUAGGGUGAUUUAUGCCUCCAAGGUGUCAUUUGCCUCAAUGGCUGUCCCCAGAGGCUGUUUGCCACAAGCUCUAUUUCCAGCAGGGUGUCCUCUGACCCCUCUGACACCCACACUUUAUGGUGGCAGAUAUAGGGCCCCAAAGUAGAACAAUGUUCAGGCAUCUGGCUCAUGCCCGCUUUUAUGAGCAAAACCUUAUUUCACCUGCCAGUCUUUUGGUGAGCAUUGUGUGUGCUGGUUCCUGCCUUGGGCAGCAGGUGCCACCUAGAGGGCCCUGUGACUGCCACCGUGGCUUGGCAGGGGCUGGGCAGCCUGGGUCCUGAGGAAACUCAGCGGACAUCCACUGAGGGUCACACAGGCCCCUAAGCAGCCCUGACACUAAGCCACCCUGAAGCCCUGGGCGUCCGAGGAGGGGGCUGUCGGGGAACCCGGGAAGAACAAUAGGAGGUGGGCCUGGUUCCUAGCACUCAGCCACCUUGCUUGACGUAAUUCUGAGAGGAAAUGGGCAAGAACUCUGUUUGUCGGCCACAAGGUGUCAGCAGCGGGCUGGCCAGGGGAUGGCUCUGCGAGCAGGCCCAGGAGGAGCCGCAGCACGCUGAGAGGGUGUUGCUGGUUGCUCUUUGAAGUUCCUAGUUUGCAGAGACUGCUUUUCUUAUUAGUGGGGGCCUGAUGAUUACGAUACCAAAAGACCCCUCUCUGCCUUGCCUGCGGACCAGCCACAUGCCUCUCUCUGCUUUCAGUUGGGUAAAAUUGCCGCCGCCGGACACCUCAACCAAGCCUGAACUGCAGCUUGAAGAGCUGGAUGCAGGUGGAGAUUUGGGGAUAACACCACACAAAGCAAUGAUGUAGGAGGUGUAUGAAGACGGAGUAGUUCAGGACACUCCUUUUUAAAAAAUUGGAUAUGAGUUCUGGCUUGCCUGCGCGCUAGGUGUGAAUUUGAAGUCUGGGUUUGCAUCCCCAUCUGUAAAAUAGCAUGUUUCCCAUCUUUCAAACGACGAUAUCCACAGGCUUCUUAUGUGGGUCAAAUGAGAUCAGGUAAUUUGCAAACUAUGAGGUACUAUACACACGUGGGUGCGAUUGUUGGGGCUUAUCUUUUGGCCCAAGCUGUGUCCUAGAGCUUCCUUCUGACUAGAGGAACAGACACUGAAGCACAAACGGAUGGCUGACUCUUCCGAGCGGGUCAUGUGCAGUCUCCGUGUGAGCUGCCAGCCAUCAAGUUCCGAUCCAGCCUGAUAGAGUCAUCUUCCAACUAGAUUCUUCCUGGAUGCCUUUGCAUGGCUCGUGUCCAACUGGAAAGCUGGCAGUGGAUGCUCGCUCUUCCCUCUUCACUGAGCCCGCUUUUCCAUACUGGAAGAAGAUGAAACACACAUUUCAGAAUAUCCUGAGCUGGAGCAAGGUAAGUCUGGAACUGCCUACUGCCAGUUUUCCUUUCUUUGGUCCUACCCUCUGGAGGGAGUUAUUUGAGGAAAGGCAGAAUGAGAUCAACACAAAGAGAGAAGCGGAGAUGCAAACUGCAGGUAUACUUUGAGUCUCCAGAUCCACGCUAUUCAUUCCAAUUAGAUAAGCUAUAAAUAACUCCCCUUUUUUGCUUAAGCUACUUCGAGUUGGGCCACCUGACAGAUUUGUAUCUGCUGAAUCAGGUCAGGACUGAGGGAGUUUGUGCUGCCUCUGUGUUCUCAGUUUACUAAUCUCACCUACAGCGUGACACAGCUGUGGCUGUUGGUAGUGAUGGCUCAAACCAGCUAUCCUCAUUCACUGGUGGGCAGGAAGCAGGUGGGACCCCUUAAAAGAGACCCCAGCCCAGUUAGUAUAAAGAAACCUCAAGGUUCUGUACUAUGAUAGUGAUGAACACCUCAACUGAUGGAAAGUGACACUGUAAAAUCAGCACACAUGGGAGGGGGUAUGUAGACGUUGGUGUCCUUUUAUUUAUUGCCUGGUGAGCUUAGAAAAGGAUAAUAUCUUAAAGGGGGUUCUCCGUCAAAAUAAGCCAUUGUAGCUGAGAGUUAUUUAAUAAGGGAAUAGGGAAGGGAGGUCUACUUUUCAGUAAGAGAGAGCCUUGUUUGCACAUGAUGUCCCUGUCCUUCUUCCCACCAGAAGGGCAGUCACGCUGGAGGACAGCUGGAUUUAACGUCCAAGCGUACAUGCUCUGUGCAGGAGAAUGAUGUGAUCUAACAAAGGCUGGGGCAUAUGUCCAGUGAACAAAAUGAUGAUUUCAAUUUAUUUUUUCUUGUGAUGCGUAAUAGCUUUAAAGACCAUUUCUGCACAAGGUUAGCAGAAAAGUUGCGUGAUUUCUCUAAGGCCAAAGAACAAAGGUUUUCUUUGUUUUUGUUUUUGUUGAGAGGGAGUCUGUCUCCAUCGCCCAGGCUGGAGUGCAAUGGCGUGAUCUCGGCUCACUGCAACCUCUGCCUCCUGGGUUCAAGCGACUCUCCUGCUUCAGCCUCCCAAGUAGCUGGGAUUAUAGGUGUGCACCACCACUCUUAGCUAAUUUUCCUAUUUUUAGUAGAGACAGGGUUUCACCGUAUUGGCCAGGCUGGUCUUGAACUCCUGACCUCAGGUGAUCUACCCACCUUGGCCUCCCAAAGGCUGGGAUUAAAGGCGUGAGCCACUGCACUCAGCCUUAAAGAACAAAGUUUUAAAGAAAUAUCUUAAUUUUUCUGAUAAAAAAAGUACAAGCAAUUCUUUUAAAAUUCAAUAAAAAUUAAGAAAGCAAAGAUCAUUUAAAAUUCUAUCACUCAGAGAUAAGCACUAUUUAUAUUUUGGUGUAUUUCUCCCAUAUAUAUUUCUAUCAAACGGCAAGAUUAGAAGCUGACUCCAGACCAGAAUUAGGGUCUUUUGAUGCCUUUAAGGAUAUUUGUUUUUUAUUUAUUAUGACAUUUUAAAAUAUAAUUAUAGAAAAUAAUGUGAUAAAAAGCCGUGGACCCAAAGCCCACAUAUAACAAAAUUUAGCAUUUACUCUGUUUACUUUGGAUGACUUUUUGUUUUAAAAAACACAAUACUGCAGAUUGUUUGAUCCCUCACGCCCACCCCAUACUCUUCCCUGAUCCCAUUUUUCUUUCCUGGCGUUAACCAUAAUCCUGAAGUUGGGAGUAUCUUUCUGUAUUAUGGUUCUCCAGAGAAAAAGAACUGAUAGGACAUAUAUAUAUUUGCAGAGGUGCAGAAAAAAAGGAGUAAAGCCCUUCUUCCUCUACUCUUUGUUCUAUUCAGGCCCUUAAUGGAUUGGGUGGUGCCCACUCACACUGGGGAGGACCAUCUGAUUCAAGUGCUGAUCUCAUCUGGAAACACUGGCACAGACAUACCCAGAAAUCAUGAUUAAUCUGGGCACCCCAUGGCCCAGUCAGGUUGACAUAUAAAAUUAACCAUCACACUUUUUUACAUGUGGUUUUGUUGUUGUUGUUUUUAGAGACAGGGUCUUACUCCGUUUUCCAGGUUGGAGCGCAGUCGUGCAAUCAUGGCUCACUGCAGCCUUGAACUCCUAGGCUCAAGCGAUCCUCUUGCCUCAUCCUCUCGAGGAGCUAGGACCACAGGUAUGCGCCACCACAUCCAGCUAAUUUUUUAAAAGUUUUUUGUAGAGACAGGGUCUUGCUCUGUCACCCCAGCUGGUGUCAAGCUCCUAGUCUCUCUCAUACAUGUUUUUAUAUUUUUCUAUGUAUGUAUGCAUACUUAAACAAUACAACGUAUCAUUUUUUGCCUUUAAAAAAUUUUUAAACAAAUUAUAUUAAUAUGUGUGUCUUCUUCUAAAACUUUCUUUUUUGUACUCACCUUUAUAUCUCUGACAUUUAUGCAUGCGAUACAUCUAUUAUCAUUUAGUUACUGUAUACUACCAUUGAAUGAAUAUAUCAGAGUUCAUUUAUCCAUUCCUUUGUGAAUAGACUUUUAGGUUGUUCUAUGUUUUGCUAUUUCGAACAAUGUUACCAUGGACAUAUUUGUCCUCACCUUGUGAACACCUGUGAGAAUUUCUGGAGGCGGAAUUUUGAGGUGGGAGUACAGGCGCAUCUUCGACUUUUUAUUAAAUAUUGCCACAUUGUUUUCUAAAACAUUUGUUAUACUCUGCAAUGAAUUCAGGUUAUGGCCACAAGAUCUACACAUUCUCCUUGGUUUUUGGCUGGAGCAGCUCUCACCACCACUUGUGCUAUUGUUUUGGGGCCAGUUGGCCACUGCUGCCUCCACUGUUGCCAUGAAACAGCAGCCUGCUUGUAAGCAUAAAGUCACAGUGCUCAUGGUAGAAUAUUUGUAAAGGUGGCUGCAAUGACCCCUUUCAUUGCCAUGUGCAUGCCGCAUUACAGUAUGCCUACUCUACUCCCAUCAAGAUGUGUAUUUCCCUUCUCCUUGAAUCUGGGCUGGCCUUGUAACUUCUUUGACCAACAGAAUGUGUGGAAAUGACCUUGUGUGACUUCUGAGUCUCAGCUUCAAGACAUCUUGCAGCCUCUUGUCUCCUCAUCUUGGAAUGCAAUGCUGCCAUGUUAGAAAGCCUCCAAGAGGGUGAAUCAUCAUAUGAAGAGAAGCAACCAUGAAGGAUGACCCUAUGAUGAGAUGGUGCCAUCAGGAAGCACCAAGUGCCCAACAUGUCACUGUGGCCAUCUUGGACCAUUCAACCCCAAGUAAGCCACUAGAUGACUGCAGCCAUGUAGGUAACCCCUGGAAAGAUCAACAGAAGAACCACUAAGCUGAGCCCAGUCCAUAUUGCUCGCCUGUAGUAUUAUAAGCAAAUAAAAUGGUUGUUGUUUUCA